GACGAACGCUGGCGGCGUGCCUAAUACAUGCAAGUCGAACGCUUCUUUCCUCCCGAGUGCUUGCACUCAAUUGGAAAGAGGAGUGGCGGACGGGUGAGUAACACGUGGGUAACCUACCCAUCAGAGGGGGAUAACACUUGGAAACAGGUGCUAAUACCGCAUAACAGUUUAUGCCGCAUGGCAUAAGAGUGAAAGGCGCUUUCGGGUGUCGCUGAUGGAUGGACCCGCGGUGCAUUAGCUAGUUGGUGAGGUAACGGCUCACCAAGGCCACGAUGCAUAGCCGACCUGAGAGGGUGAACGGCCACAAUGGGACUGAGACACGGCCCAGACUCCUACGGGAGGCAGCAGUAGGGAAUCUUCGGCAAUGGACGAAAGUCUGACCGAGCAACGCCGCGUGAGUGAAGAAGGUUUUCGGAUCGUAAAACUCUGUUGUUAGAGAAGAACAAGGACGUUAGUAACUGAACGUCCCCUGACGGUAUCUAACCAGAAAGCCACGGCUAACUACGUG
rnacentral:rRNA from 1 species